AAUCAACGCUGGCGGCGUGCCUCAGACAUGCAAGUCGAACGCGAAAGUCCCCUUCGGGGGACAAGUAGAGUGGCGCACGGGUGAGUAACACGUAGGUAAUCUACCUUCGGAUGGGGAAUAACAAUCGGAAACGGUUGCUAAUACCGCAUAAUGCAGCGGCACCUAAUGGUGACAGUUGUUAAAGCGGGGGAUCGAAAGACCUCGCGUCUGAAGAGGAGCCUGCGGCGGAUUAGCUAGUUGGUAAGGUAAUGGCUUACCAAGGCGACGAUCCGUAACCGGCCUGAGAGGGGCGGUCGGUCACACUGACACUGACAUACGGGUCAGACUCCUACGGAGGCAGCAGUCGGGAAUUUUGGGCAAUGGGCGAAAGCCUGACCCAGC
rnacentral:rRNA from 1 species